GUGUGUGUGUGUGAAUGAGCGAUAAAUGUCUAAUUCCAUGUGUAGUGUUCUAAAUUAAGUUAAUCGUUAAACAUACUCGUUUAUUCUCAGACAAACAUGCAAAUGAUUUUUAAAAUGUCUCCACGGGCAGUGAGCCCAGGUCAGGCUCGUUUUACAUCCAAACUAAAUAUGUUUUAAUGAGCCGACACCCAAAAACACACACACACACACAGAUAUGCACACUAGAGCAUGGAUCGGGCCGACUUUUUCUGUCCGAGCCCGACCCGCGUCCGACAGAGUAGUGCCCGAGCCCGGCCCGAGUCCGACAGCCAUUCAAAUAUUUCGUCCGAACCCGACCCGAGCCCGACGGAAUCAAUGUUUCAACUGUCCAUACUAAUGCCACAUUUACGUACGUUUUUUAUGAAUAGCCUGGCUUUAUUAAACUCGGGCAUCAACAGAUAAAUGCUUGCUCACACAAACAAGCGCUGUCAAACGCACAACCGUGCACAAGAAAGCAUAUUUAAAUUAAAUGAUUCACAUUGCAAGAACGUGUUGUAAAAUGGUGCGGCUCCUUUAAGAGCAGCACGUACAGCGUUGGUGUGGUAGAGCUAGAGAGAGAGAACGGUGACGCUUGUCGGCAGAGAUAACGUAUGGCCCAGAGAUACCGUACUGAAACCGGAAGUGGAUGAUUUACUCCGUUUGAUUGGCUAAUAACAGGACCUUUACUUUUUCGUUGAGAAAUUAUGUUGAUCGCCUGACUUGUAAAUGAUCGUUUUUUUUUUUUUUAUUAUUAUUAUUUUUGUGAAGUUAUACGGCUCAACACUCAUUUGACUUGUUAACCGAACUUUUACGAAGUCAUACAACUAAACACACAAGUGACUUGUUAACCGAACUUUUACGAAGCUAUGUGACCAAACACAAAGCUAGCGUGCUAAUCAAAAUUCCGGGACGUCAGAGGCAAUGUCGACAUCUUACGUUUGACAGCGGGCUUACCAAACACCGUAUAGUACAGAGCUAGGUCAAUUAGCUCACGUAAAAUACUGUAAUUUAAGAUAACCAAUACCCUAAUUUUCCCCAAAAACCAUCGAUUGUGUGUGUGUGUCUGUGAGAGUGCUAGCUUGAGCUAACCAACACACCAUAUAGCUACCUUGAGCUGCCCAAACACUGUAUAGCUAGCUAGGUCAAUUAGCUCGCCUAAGAUACUGUAAUUUAAGCUAACCAUAUACCUAAUUUCCCCCAAAACCCAUCGAUUGUGUGUGUUUGUGAUGUGUAACAUAUAUCCUUUAUUAAGUCAUUCAAGUUAUUUACGUUUAUUUACCGCUAGCGAUUACACCGACACAAGUGUAAUUCAAUU
ensembl:lncRNA